GCCCAGUGGACACCUGAGUAACCCAGGACACGAGAAAUCCGGGGCGAAUCAGCGGGGCCCAUCCCGUAAGGCUAAAUACUCCCGAGAGACCGAUAGCGAACCAGUACUGUGAAGGAAAGGUGAAAAGCACUUCGAAUAGAAGAGUGAAAUAGUCCCUGAAACCAUGCGCCUACAAGCGGUCGGAGCAGCUUAAGCUGUGACGGCGUGCCUUUUGCAUAAUGAACCUACGAGUUACUCUCGCUGGCAAGGUUAAGCGAUUCAGUCGCGCAGCCGAAGCGAAAGCAAGUCCGAACAAGGCGUACAGUCAGCGGGAGUAGACGCGAAACCAAGUGAUCUACCCUUGGUCAGGUUGAAGGUUGGGUAACACCAACUGGAGGACCGCACCGAUAAGCGUUGAAAAGCUUACGGAUGAACUGAGGGUAGGAGUGAAAGGCCAAUCAAACUUGGAGAUAGCUCGUACUCCCCGAAAUGCAUUUAGGUGCAGCCUCGAAGCAGAGUGAUAGAGGUAGAGCGACUGAUAAGAUGCGAGGGCUUCACCGCCUAUCAAGUCUUGACAAACUCCGAAUACUAUCACUUGGUCUUCGGGAGUGAGGGCAUGGGUGCUAAGGUCCAUGUCCGAAAGAGGAACAACUCAGACCACCAGCUAAGGUCCCGAAAUAAGGGCUAAGUUGAACAAACGAAGUAAAACUGCAAAGACAGCUAGGAUGUUGGCUUGGAAGCAGCCAUUCAUUUAAAGAGUGCGUAACAGCUCACUAGUCGAGGAGUCUGGCGUGGAUAAUAAUCGGGUAUUAAGUUGUCUACCGAAGCAGUGGGAUCAUUGAAAUGAUCGGUAGGGGAGCAUUCCACUCAGCGUCGAAGGUGAAGCGUGAGCUUUGCUGGAGCGUGUGGAAAAGCAAAUGUAGGUAUAAGUAACGAUAAAGGGGGUGAGAAACCCCCUCGCCGAAAGACUAAGGUUUCCUGAUCAACGCUAAUCGGAUCAGGGUAAGUCGGGUCCUAAGGCUCAGCCGAAGGGCGAUGCCGAUGGCAGAAACGGUUAAUAUUCCGUUACUACCUCCAGGAGUGAUGUGGAGACGCAGUAGUGACAAUGCCGCCAUCUGACGGAAUAGAUGGUUGAAGGGUGUAGAUGUUGAUCUUGGCAGGCAAAUCCACCAUGAGAAUCGAACCUGAUAGUAUGCCGCGUCCCUCGGGACAAGGCAAUAGUGCAUGUAAUCAUGCUGCCAAGAAAAUCCGCUAAACUAAAUCCUGUAGGUACCCGUACCGUAAACGGACACACGUAGUCGGGAUGAAUAUUCUAAGGCGCUUGAGUGAUUCACGGUUAAGGAACUAGGCAAACUGACCCUGUAACUUCGGGAUAAAGGGUCCCUACCCGGUGACGGGAGGGCGCAGAGAAUAGGUCCAGGCAACUGUUUAACAAAAACACAGGGCUGUGCUAAAUCGAAAGAUCCUGUAUACAGCCUGACACCUGCCCGGUGCUGGAAGGUUAAGAGGAGACGUCAUCGUUGAGAGAAGCGUUGAAUUGAAGCCCCAGUAAACGGCGGCCGUAACUAUAACGGUCCUAAGGUAGCGAAAUUCCUUGUCGGGUAAGUUCCGACCUGCACGAAUGGUGUAAUGAUCUGGACGCUGUCUCAACCGUGAGCUC
rnacentral:rRNA from 1 species